AGAGUUUGAUCCUGGCUCAGGAUGAACGCUGGCGGCGUGCCUAACACAUGCAAGUCGAGCGGGGAAGCCGGAACAUGUAGAGAUAUAUGAGAAAGCAUCCUAGCGGCGGACGGGUGAGUAACACGUGAGGAACCUGCCUUACACAGGGGAAUAACACCGUGAAAACGGUGCUAAUACCGCAUAACACCGCACUAUGGCAUCAUAGAGCGGUCAAAGGAGAAGUCCGGUGUAAGAUGGCCUCGCGCCCGAUUAGUUAGUUGGUGGGGUAAUGGCCUACCAAGACUGCGAUCGGUAGCCGGACUGAGAGGUCGAACGGCCACAUUGGAACUGAGAGACGGUCCAGACUCCUACGGGAGGCAGCAGUGGGGAAUAUUGGGCAAUGGGGGAAACCCUGACCCAGCAACGCCGCGUGAAGGAAGAAGGCCUUCGGGUUGUAAACUUCUUUGAUCAGGGAAGAAACAAAUGACGGUACCUGAAAAACAAGCCACGGCUAACUACGUGCCAGCAGCCGCGGUAAUACGUAGGUGGCAAGCGUUAUCCGGAUUUACUGGGUGUAAAGGGCGUGUAGGCGGUCUCAUAAGUCAGAUGUGAAAUUUCCGGGCUUAACCCGGGCACUGCAUCUGAAACUGUGGGACUUGAGUACUGGAGAGGAUAGUGGAAUUCCUAGUGUAGCGGUAAAAUGCGUAGAUAUUAGGAGGAACACCGGUGGCGAAGGCGACUAUCUGGACAGUAACUGACGCUGAGGCGCGAAAGCGUGGGGAGCAAACAGGAUUAGAUACCCUGGUAGUCCACGCCGUAAAC
rnacentral:rRNA from 1 species